CGGAGGGUGCGAGCGUUGUCCGGAAUCACUGGGCGUAAAGGGCGCGUAGGUGGCGUCGCAAGUCAACGGUGAAAGCUCGGCGCUCAACGCCGAGUCGGCCGUCGAAACUGCGAGGCUCGAGCACUGUAGAGGCAGAUGGAAUUCCGGGUGUAGCGGUGGAAUGCGUAGAGAUCCGGAAGAACACCGGUGGCGAAGGCGGUCUGCUGGGCAGGUGCUGACACUGAGGCGCGACAGCGUGGGGAGCAAACAGGAUUAGAUACCCUGGUAGUCCACGCCGUAAACGAUGGGCACUAGAUGCUUGGGGGAGCGACCCCCUGAGUGUCGUCGCUAACGCAGUAAGUGCCCCGCCUGGGGAGUACGGCCGCAAGGCUG
rnacentral:rRNA from 1 species